AUAGUGGUAAUAGCAUUUGUCACUAUAGAUAAGUCGAAGGUAUCACUCCGAUAAACAGCAGCUACAUAAACGUACUUCGAAAAGAUGUAAAAAGAGCUUAUUCACAAUAUCUCUUACUACUUACAAUGCAAUGUAGAAACACGUGCGUCCAUUAAUUUAUUGAAUAUUUAAAAAAUCAUUACGUUUUUCAACUUUAAAGCAACAGUAGAAAUGAAUUUUUCAUUACUUAAAUCACCAAAUCUAUUAUCCUUUUUCAUACGGUUCUUUUAUCGUCGUCCACGUGUAGGUAAAGGAACACUUCUGCCAGGGCCAACUUUGAACAUAGGAGCAUUCCUUGUUUAAAAACGUUAAAAUUAUGAUUAAACCAACCACUUAAAAAUUCUUACCUAAGCAUAUCAGGAACGAUGAGAAAACGAAUGUGUGAACCACGAAUGUAAACUUGAUCCAAAUGAGAAACACGACCAUCUCGAGCAGUUACACUGAUAUCUCUCAUUUGACAAUUCAUAUUAUCUUCCGCUAAUUAGUGUAAGUAAACCAUAACAAAAUAGAAAUCGUUUUAAAAUGAAUAUACCUUCAAUUAACUUUCCA